GUCUUUGCAGCGCAAUGGAUAGCGCGUUGAACUUCUAAUCCAAAGGCAGUGGGUUCAAAACCCACGUGGGAUG